rnacentral:lncRNA from 1 species
AUUGCUUCAUGUGUGAAAUGGAAACUGCAAAUAUCAUCUGGGUGAAGAAACAUUUAAAUUAGCUCAGACAUAUAUGGAUAAACUAUCAACACAUGACCAGCAAGCAAAUAAAGCUGCACUCUAUGGAGAACUGUGUGCACUCCUGUUUGCAAAAAGUCACUAUGAUGAGAUCUCAUUUUUACAUAUUAGGUUUAAGGCAGUACACAUUUGUAAUGGAAAAUUUAAAUCAGACAAGCCGGGCACCGUGGCUCAUACCUGUAAUCCCAGGAGUUUGGGGCCAGCCUGGGCAAGUGAGACCCUGCCUCUACAAAAAAUUAGCCAGGUAUGUAGCACAUGCCUGUGAUGGUCAUCCUACAUGGGAGGCUGAGGCAGGAGGAUCCCUUGAGCCCAGUAGGUUGAGGCUGUAGUGAACCCUGUUUAUACCACUGUACUUAAGCUUGGGUGACCAAGUGAGGCUCUGUCUCAAAUUAAAGAAAAGUAAAAUCAGACAAAAGGAGUAUUUGUGAGAUGAAUUUGAAAUAUAUAAAUGUAUAAUUUAGAGCCCUUUCUUUUGUUGUUUUUCUUUUAAUUUAACCAAAAGUAUCUGCCUAAAUUGUUUGGAUGGGCGUCUUCUUGUAGUUUUUGAGACAGGGUCUUGCUUUGACUCCCAGGCUGGAGUGUAGUGGCACAAUCUCAGCUCACCACAAUCUCUGCUCCAGGACUCAGGUGAUUCUCCCACCUCAGCCUCCCAAGUAGCUGAGACUACAGGCACACAUCACCACACCUGCCUACUUUUUCUGUCUACUUUUCUUUGGUAGAGACAGGUUUUCACCAUGUUGCCUGUGCUGAACUCAAACUCCUGGGCUCAAGUGAUCCACCUUCCUCAGUUUCCUAAAGUUCUGGGAUUACAGGCUUGAACCACCAUGCCCAACCUGACAGUUAUUUUCUUUCUGCAUUUGGAUUUAGGGGUUUAUGCCUUAUUCAUGUAUUUGCAACUCUCAGCACAUUCAUGAGGAAUGUAGAAGUCUUGGAUAAUUUUUGACAGUUUAAUUUUUUAGUGAUAAAUAAGCUUUUCACUGUUAUUUACAGAAAAGUACACAAAUCUUUAGGACAUAGUUUGAUGAAUUAGCACCAUGUUCUUGUGUUAGUCAGGAUAGGCUAGGCUAUGCAGAGGUCAUAUCAACCCCAGAAUAGCUUGGAACAAUAAAAGUUUCUUUCUAGCUCAUAAUAUAUCCCUGUCUUCAGAUGGCUAUGACUGUUCUUGACAUUAUAUCUGUACUUCGAUCAAUACCCAGUAUUGUUUUUGGGUCUAUGUGGAACGUACCUAUCUAGAACAUUACCAGCCUGGGCACAGGGACAGAAACUUCAUGGAGAAGUACUGCUGGCUCUUGGACUUUUCUUCCAGAAAAGCCACAUUUCACUUCUCAUAUUUUAAUUGUCGAAAGAAAUCAUAUGGCCACACUUGUCUUUUUUUGUUUGUUUGUUUGUUUGUUUGUUUGAGACAGCAUCUUACUCCAUCAAGGCUGGAGUGCAGUGGCAUGAUCAUGGCUCACCACAGCCUCCACCUUGGCCCCACCAAGUAGCUGGAACUACAGGUGCACAUCACUACACCCAGCUAAUUUUUUUAAAUUUUUGAUAGAGACAAAGUCUCACUGUGUGGUAACCCAGCCUGGUUUCUAACUCCUGAGCUGAAGCAGUCCUCCCACUUCAGUCUCUCAAAGUGCUGGGAUUACAGGUAUGCGCCACCACACCCAGCCUAAGAUAAUUUAUUUUGCCUUUUUGAUUUCUUCCACUAAGCACCAGGAGAGGAAGGACAUUUGUUGUUUUGUUUCCCACUUCAUACUUAGAUACUAGCACAUUGCCUGCCACUUAACCUCUCUAU